UACGUAGGAGACGAGCGUUGUCCGGAAUUACUGGGCGUAAAGCGCGUGUAGGCGGAUGAGCAAGUCUGCUGUGAAAGCUCCUGGCUUAACCGGGAGUGGUCGGUGGAAACUGCUCGUCUGGAGGACGGUAGAGGUAGGUAGAAUUCCCGGUGUAGUGGUGAAAUGCGUAGAGAUCGGGAGGAAUACCUGUGGCGAAGGCGGCUCACUGGCCCGUAACUGACGCUCAUGCACGACAGCGUGGGGAUCAAACAGG
rnacentral:rRNA from 1 species